rnacentral:rRNA from 1 species
GGGGGAAAAUGCUUAGAUAUCCCGAGGAACUCCGAUUGCGCAGGCAGGCUACUUAACCAUAACUGACGCUCAUCCACGAAGGGGUGGGGGAUCAAACAGGAUUAGAUACCCCGGUAGUCCACACUGUAAACGAUGAAUGCUAGGUGUAGGUGGUAUCGACCCCAUCUGUGCCGCAGUAAACACAAUAAGCAUUCCGCCUGGGGAGUACGGCCGCAAGGUUGAAACUCAAAGAAAUUGACGGGGGCCCGCACAAGCAGCGGAGCAUGUGGUUUAAUUCGAAGCAACGCGAAGAACCUUACCAGGCCUUGACAUCCAGUAAAAGCCGGAGAGAUUUGGUGUGCCUUCGGGCAUACUGAGACAGGUGGUGCAUGGUUGUCGUCAGCUCGUGUCGUGAGAUGUUGGGUUAAGUCCCGCAACGAGCGCAACCCCUGUCGUUAGUUGCCAGCAUUCAGUUGGGGACUCUAACGAGACUGCCAGUGACAAACUGGAGGAAGGUGGGGAUGACGUCAAAUCAUCAUGCCCCUUAUGACCUGGGCUACACACGUGCUACAAUGGCCACUACAGAGAGCAGCGAACCCGUGAGGGCGAGCGAAUCUCAAAAAAGUGGUCUCAGUUCGGAUUGUAGGCUGCAACCCGCCUACAUGAAGUCGGAGUUGCUAGUAAUCGCGGAUCAGCACGCCGCGGUGAAUACGUUCCCGGGCCUUGCACACACCGCCCGUCA